rnacentral:rRNA from 1 species
GUCAAGCGAACAAGGGCGCAGGGCGAAUGCCUUGGCACUGGGAGCCGAUGAAAGACGUGAUAAGCUGCGAUAAGCUUCGGGGAGCUGCAAAUAAGCAUUGAUCCGGAGAUUUCUGAAUGAGGAAACUCACCUGGGUUCAUACUCAGGUACGUUAUACUGAACUUAAAAAUAGGUAUAUCGAGGGAACCGCCUGAACUGAAACAUCUAAGUAGGGCGAGGAAGAGACAUCAAACGAGAUUCCGUAAGUAGUGGCGAGCGAACGCGGAAGAGGGCAAACCGGAAGUAGAAAUACUUCCCGGGUACGGACCGCAUUUAGGACUUGAGUUGUUAACCGAACGGCAUGGGAAGGCCGGUCAGAGAGUGUGAGAACCACGUAGGUGAAAACGACAAGAGCUGAGCGAGUUCCAGAGUACGGCCAGACACGUGAAACCUGGUCGGAAUACGGGGGGACCACCCUCCAACCCUAAAUACUACCCAGUGACCGAUAGCGUAUAGUACUGUGAAGGAAAGGUGAAAAGCACCCCGGGAGGGGAGUGAAAAAGAACCUGAAACCCUGUGCCUACAAGCACCUAGAGCACGUCAAUGUGUGAUAGGGUACUUUUUGUAGAACGGUCCGGCGAGCGAUUGUAUGCAGCAAGGUUAAGGACUUAAGGUCUGGAGCCGAAGCGAAAGCGAGUUUGAAAAGGGCGUUAAGUUGCAUACAAUGGGCCCGAAACCGGGUGACCUACCCAUGGUCAGGUUGAAGUGGAAGUAAAAUUCCAUGGAGGACCGAACCGACCUCCGUUGAAAAGGCGGCGGAUGAACUGUGGGUAGCGGAGAAAUUCCAAUCGAACCCGGAGAUAGCUGGUUCUCCCCGAAAUAGUUUUAGGACUAGCCUCAAGUUAGAUACCUGGAGGUAAAGCACUGAAUAGCCUAGCGGCCGAGAGGUUAGCGAAGCUUAUCAAACUCAGAAUGCCAGAGUAUUGAUGCUUGGGAGUCAGACAGUGUCAGAUAAAUGUCAUUGUCAAAAGGGAAACAGCCCAGAUCUACAGCUAAGGUCCCAAAGUCAGGUUAAGUGGAAAACGAUGUGAAGAUACGUAGACAACCAGGAUGUUGGCUCAGAAGCAGCCACACAUUCAAAGAGUGCGUAAUAGCUCACUGGUCGAGCGUCUUUGCGCGGAGAAUUUAACGGGGCUAAACCUGACACCGAAGCUUAGGCAAUACAGUAAUGUAUUGGGUAGGGGAGCGUUGUAUACGCGGUGAAACAGUAGCGCAAGCGGCUGUGGAGUGUAUAGAAGUGAGAAUGCCGGAAUGAGUAGCGCGAAUGCAGUGAGAAUCUGCAUGGCCGAAAGCCUCAGGUUUCUGGAGGAAGGUUCGUCCGCUCCAGGUUAGUCGGGAGCUAAGGUGAGGCCUAACGGCGUAGCCGAUGCACAGACGGUAGAGAUUCCGUCACCACCAAAAGAGUUAAGCACAGGGACACAUUUGAAGUCUCGGAGCCGGGUGUUGGUUCCGGUAGCGAUCGAGGGAAGUUAGUACCGAAGUCCGGGAUGGAAGAUGGCGAGAAAAGCUGUGUGUAUUUCUGCGGUGCCCGUACCGCAAACCGACACAGGUAGGUAGGAAGAAGAUUCUAAGGCCAACGGGAGAAGGGUUGUUAAGGAACUCGGCAAAUUGACCCCGUAACUUCGGGAGAAGGGGUGCUCCAGAGAUGGAGCCGCAGAGAAUCGGCCCAAGCAACUGUUUACCAAAAACACAGGUUUGUGCUAAAUCGAAAGAUGACGUAUACGAGCUGACGCCUGCCCGGUGCUGGAAGGUUAAGAGGAGAUGUGCAAGCAUUGAAUCGAAGCCCCAGUGAACGGCGGCCGUAACUAUAACGGUCCUAAGGUAGCGAAAUUCCUUGUCAGGUAAGUUCUGACCCGCAUGAAAGGCGUAAUGAUUUGGGCACUGUCUCGACAGCCCGCCCGGCGAAAUUGUAGUACCGGUGAAGAUGCCGGUUACCCGCGACAAGACGGAAAGACCCCAUGGAGCUUUACUGUAGCCUAAUAUUGGGUUUCGAUGUUGCAUGCACAGGAUAGAUGGGACACAGGGAAACAAGUGCUUUGGCAUUUGUGGAGUGGCCGUUGGGAUACCAUCCUUGCGAUAUUGGAAUUCUAACCUGCGCCUUUGAAUCAAGGCGGGGGACAUUGUUAGGUGGGCAGUUUGACUGGGGCGGUCGCCUCCUAAAGAGUAACGGAGGCGUUCAAAGGUUCGCUCAGCUUGAACGGAAAUCAAGCAAAAGAGUGCAAACGCAGAAGCGAGCCUAACUGCGAGACUGACGGGUCGAGCAGUAACGAAAGUUGGAGUUAGUGAUCCGGUGGUAUGUGAGUGGAAAUGCCAUCGCUCAACGGAUAAAAGUUACCCUGGGGAUAACAGGCUGAUCUCCCCCAAGAGUCCACAUCGACGGGGAGGUUUGGCACCUCGAUGUCGGCUCAUCGCAUCCUGGGGCUGUAUUCGGUCCCAAGGGUUUGGCUGUUCGCCAAUUAAAGCGGUACGCGAGCUGGGUUCAGAACGUCGUGAGACAGUUCGGUCCCUAUCUGUCGUGGGCGCAGGAUAUUUGAUGGGAGCUGUUCCUAGUACGAGAGGACCGGAGCGGACGUACCUCUGGCGCACCAGUUGUUCUGCCAAGGGCAUAGCUGGGCAACUAUGUACGGAUCGGAUAAACGCUGAAAGCAUCUAAGCGUGAAGCCGACCCAAAGAUAAGAUAUCCCAUUGUUUCAAACAAGUAAGACCCCUUGAAGACUACAAGGUUGAUAGGCACGAUGUGUAAGUGGAGCGAUCCAUUCAGCAAGCGUGUACUAAUAGGUCGAGGGCUUGAC